UGGGGAAUUUUGGACAAUGGGCGAAAGCCUGAUCCAGCAAUGCCGCGUGUGUGAAGAAGGCCUUCGGGUUGUAAAGCACUUUUGUCCGGAAAGAAAUCCUUGGCUCUAAUACAGUCGGGGGAUGACGGUACCGGAAGAAUAAGCACCGGCUAACUACGUGCCAGCAGCCGCGGUAAUACGUAGGGUGCAAGCGUAAUCGGAAUUACUGGGCGUAAAGCGUGCGCAGGCGGUUUGCUAAGACCGAUGUGAAAUCCCCGGGCUCAACCUGGGAACUGCAUUGGUGACUGGCAGGCUAGAGUAUGGCAGAGGGGGGUAGAAUUCCACGUGUAGCAGUGAAAUGCGUAGAGAUGUGGAGGAAUACCGAUGGCGAAGGCAGCCCCCUGGGCCAAUACUGACGCUCAUGCACGAAAGCGUGGGGAGCAAACAGGAUUAGAUACCCUGGUAGUCCACGCCCUAAACGAUGUCAACUAGUUGUUGGGGAUUCAUUCCUUAGUAACGUAGCUAACGCGUGAAGUUGACCGCCUGGGGAGUACGGUCGCAAGAUUAAAACUCAAAUGAAUUGACGGGGUCAUAGCUGUUUCCU
rnacentral:rRNA from 1 species